rnacentral:rRNA from 1 species
UCCACGCCCUAAACGAUGUCUACUAGUUGUCGGGUCUUAAUUGACUUGGUAACGCAGCUAACGCGUGAAGUAGACCGCCUGGGGAGUACGGUCGCAAGAUUAAAACUCAAAGGAAUUGACGGGGACCCGCACAAGCGGUGGAUGAUGUGGAUUAAUUCGAUGCAACGCGAAAAACCUUACCUACCCUUGACAUGGUCGGAAGCCUCCAGAGACGGAGGCGUGCUCGAAAGAGAACCGGCGCACAGGUGCUGCAUGGCUGUCGUCAGCUCGUGUCGUGAGAUGUUGGGUUAAGUCCCG